CCUACGGGGGGCAGCAGUGAGGAAUAUUGGUCAAUGGCCGGAAGGCUGAACCAGCCAAGCCGCGUGAAGGACGAAGGUGCCAAGCAUUGUAAACUUCUUUUGUCAAGGGACAAAAUCAGGCUCGAGAGCCUGACCGAGGGUACUUGAAGAAAAAGCAUCGGCUAACUCCGUGCCAGCAGCCGCGGUAAUACGGAGGAUGCGAGUGUUAUCCGGAUUUAUUGGGUUUAAAGGGUGCGUAGGCGGACUGUUAAGUCAGCGGUAAAAGCCCGGGGCUCAACCCCGGCGAGCCGUUGAAACUGGCGGUCUUGAGAUGUCGAGAGGUAUGCGGAAUGCCCAGUGUAGCGGUGAAAUGCUUAGAUAUUGCGCAGAACUCCGAUUGCGAAGGCAGCAUACCGGCGGCGAUCUGACGCUGAGGCACGAAAGCGUGGGUAUCGAACAGGAUUAGAUACCCGAGUAGUC
rnacentral:rRNA from 1 species